rnacentral:rRNA from 1 species
AUUGAACGCUGGCGGCAUGCCUAACACAUGCAAGUCGAGCGGAUGAAGGGAGCUUGCUCCUGGAUUCAGCGGCGGACGGGUGAGUAAUGCCUAGGAAUCUGCCUGGUAGUGGGGGAUAACGUCCGGAAACGGGCGCUAAUACCGCAUACGUCCUGAGGGAGAAAGUGGGGGAUCUUCGGACCUCACGCUAUCAGAUGAGCCUAGGUCGGAUUAGCUAGUUGGUGGGGUAAAGGCCUACCAAGGCGACGAUCCGUAACUGGUCUGAGAGGAUGAUCAGUCACACUGGAACUGAGACACGGUCCAGACUCCUACGGGAGGCAGCAGUGGGGAAUAUUGGACAAUGGGCGAAAGCCUGAUCCAGCCCUGCCGCGUGUGUGAAGAAGGUCUUCGGAUUGUAAAGCACUUUAAGUUGGGAGGAAGGGCAGUAAGUUAAUACCUUGCUGUUUUGACGUUACCAACAGAAUAAGCACGGGCUAACUUCGUG